rnacentral:rRNA from 1 species
CCGCUCGAAGAGGGGGCUGCGGCCCAUCAGGUAGUUGGUAGGGUAAUGGCCUACCAAGCCAACGACGGGUAGGGGGUCUGAGAGGAUGGUCCCCCACACUGGGACUGAGACACGGCCCAG